GCUUUCGUGGUGUAGUGGUCAGCACGCUCGACGCGUAACCGAGAGGUCCGUGGUUCGAUUCCCGGAGAAGGCG
rnacentral:tRNA from 1 species